GUGUCAGCAGCCGCGGUAAUACGAAGGGGGCUAGCGUUGCUCGGAUUGACUGGGCGUAAAGGGCGCGUAGGCGGUUCGUACAGUCAGACGUGAAAUUCCUGGGCUCAACCUGGGGGCUGCGUUUGAUACGUGCGGACUUGAGUGCGGAAGAGGGUCGUGGAAUUCCCAGUGUAGAGGUGAAAUUCGUAGAUAUUGGGAAGAACACCGGUGGCGAAGGCGGCGACCUGGUCCGAUACUGACGCUGAGGCGCGAAAGCGUGGGGAGCAAACAGGAUUAGAUACCCUGGUAGUCC
rnacentral:rRNA from 1 species